rnacentral:rRNA from 1 species
CCUACGGGAGGCAGCAGUGGGGAAUAUUGCACAAUGGGGGAAACCCUGAUGCAGCGACGCCGCGUGAGCGAUGAAGUAUUUCGGUAUGUAAAGCUCUAUCAGCAGGGAAGAAAAUGACGGUACCUGACUAAGAAGCCCCGGCUAACUACGUGCCAGCAGCCGCGGUAAUACGUAGGGGGCAAGCGUUAUCCGGAUUUACUGGGUGUAAAGGGAGCGUAGACGGCGGUGCAAGCCAGAUGUGAAAGCCCGGGGCUCAACCCUGGGACUGCAUUGGAAACUGUGCUGCUAGCGUGUCGGAGAGGCAGGCGGAAUUCGUAGUGUAGCGGUGAAAUGCGUAGAGAUUAGGAGGAACACCAGUGGCGAAGGCGGCCUGCUGGACGAUGACUGACGUUGAGGCUCGAAAGCGUGGGGAGCAAACAGGAUUAGAUACCCCGGUAGUG